rnacentral:sRNA from 1 species
ACUUUGCACCGGUCGGCCCAGGCCCCGCCCCCAGGCCGCCGGCUCCGUUUACUGCGCGCGCAGUUUGUUGCAAACCCGGAAGCAGAUCUCUUGGAGUGAAGGCUGUCCGUCGCCGCGUAGAACCCCGAAAGAAGAGGAAGAGGAAAGCAAAGGAGUCAGGGAUGGCUCUUCGUCAGGAAAAACAACUCAAAAACCAUGUUUUCCUCUGGUCUCACACCAACACCACAAUCCACACCGAAGACUUCUGUGGCCAAAUACGAGGGAUUUCUCCCCACCAACAAACAGCGAGCAACCAACUGGCUGUCCUCCAGUUCAAUUCCAACACUGUCUGCAUGAAGACAGUGUCAGAUCUCACAGAUUGAUGGCUCAGUUCCCAAUUGCAUGUCCAGGUCUCUGAAACUUCUGACCGACCAACUUCAAGUUGAGGUUCCGAACCAUGAACCCUUCUUUGGGUUGGAUUAAUUUGCUGGAGCAACUCUUAGAGGUCAGAGAAACACUCAGUUUUACUGGUUGAUUAUAAAUACUAUUACAGAAGAUACCAGUGAAGAGAUGCAUAAGGUUGAGGUAUGGGGAAUGGGGUGCAGAGCUUCCCUGCCCU